rnacentral:rRNA from 1 species
GAAUAUUGGACAAUGGGCGCAAGCCUGAUCCAGCCAUGCCGCGUGUGUGAAGAAGGCCUUCGGGUUGUAAAGCACUUUAAGUUGGGAGGAAGGGCAGUAAGUUAAUACCUUGCUGUUUUGACGUUACCGACAGAAUGAGCACCGGCUAACUCGGUUCCAGCAGCCGCGGUAAUACAGAGGGUGCAAGCGUUAAUCGGAAUUACUGGGCGUAAAGCGCGCGUAGGUGGUUUGUUAAGUUGGAUGUGAAAGCCCCGGGCUCAACCUGGGAACUGCAUCCAAAACUGGCAAGCUAGAGUACGGUAGAGGGUGGUGGAAUUUCCUGUGUAGCGGUGAAAUGCGUAGAUAUAGGAAGGAACACCAGUGGCGAAGGCGACCACCUGGACUGAUACUGACACUGAGGUGCGAAAGCGUGGGGAGCAAACAGG